UCCAGCUGAUUAAAUCUAUAAAAAUCAAUAAAUAUAAAAGCAAACUCAUUGUCAUUGUUGGUACACGGCAUGAAAUUGAUGUGAAAUUACAGGGAAAUUCCUACAGUAAUCUGCUGUUUUAUUGAUAUACGGCACAUUGCUUAAGACAGAACAGCAUUGUGGGCGUUUUGCUCUUAACUGCAUAACACCGUUUGAAUUUUCAGUAAUUAACUGGAAAUUGCUAUGGAUAUUGGGAAGCCGUUGGUUAGUAGUGGCGACAGAGAAUUUGCUAACAAAGCAAUGCCAAGUUUCGAGUGUCACACCUAAUAGGCUACGCGAAUUUAAAAGUAAUUAUAUCACAAUUUGUUCGUUUUUGAUUUCCAACAGAAUACGUUGAUCUGUAUUUCACAUAAAUUUUCUUGUUCUUUUCCAAGGCAACCCUGUACUUUGAGUAUUUUUUGUUGCAGCUGGCUAGAGUGUCGCCGGAUUGUGCAGUACACAAGUCUUGUACAGUAUCCAGUCUUCUGGGCCAUGUAACAGUAGGAACAGAGACGAGACUAACGGCAACCAAUGAACAAGUUGAGGAUGUUUCAGUGUUGGAGGGGAUUUGACUGACGACGUAACGUGAAAAGAAAACAAUUGCAUCAUACAAAGACAGCGUGCAGCACAGCAUGCAGCAUAACAUCGCACACUUCAAUCUCUUUCCUUGGGAUCUUGGCAGACUCAUCCCCACCAGAGAUGAGUCCAAUGAGAGUGGUGUCGUCUGCAAACUUCAGGAGCUUGACUGACUGAUGACUGGAGGUGCAGCUAUUGG